rnacentral:lncRNA from 1 species
ACAGGAGGCUGCCUGCCAGCGACUCCAUGGGCUCAGGCUGUUUGUAGUUCAUGUGCGUAAUUUUUAAAGAUAGACAUAAGACAUAUCCCUGAAGGCGAGUACAAGAGAGAAAGACAGGGCUCUGAAAAUACUGCCACAGGCUCAAGUUCCAAAGUGCUGGAGUUACAAAAGGAUAAAGGACAACGCAAAGGACUUUUUAGCCAAAGAAGAACCAGAAAGCUUUCUGCCUACUGAUUGUCACGGCUAAUUGCUCCGUGUGCAAAUCCAUGUAAAUAAAUGGAGAAACUCUCAAAACCUUUAAAAGUCAAUUAAUCUGACCUGCCAUUUCUACCCUCUCAGGUUCUGAGCACUGAUUUCAUCAAGCCGAUGGAGGCAACACAUAUUCCUUAGGGAAAAUUAAGAUGCACAGUAUGCUUCAAGAUGAUGGCCAAGAACAACCAACUCAACGAGCCUUCAGGAAUUCAUGAUUUGAAUAUCAUGUUCAAGCUGCCUUCUAGAUAAAGAUCAAACCAAGAAAGUCCAUGUGUCACUGCUCCGUGAAGGCUCCUGGUGGAACUCCCUGCCCCACUCCACCUUUAAGAUUUCCAGCACAGUGUCUUCACCUCCUUCAGCGCCCCUGUUUACAUGUCCAUCUCUCUCUUUAGAAGUACAGACAUCAGCAAACUCGAGAAAAGAAGGUUUGCUCUGGGAGAUUCUACAUGUGACCUGUUUAUAUGUAAUUACAUUAUCUAUUACUCAAGUAUUUGUCUUGUGCUGUCUAAAUUAUAAGCUUCUCAACUGUUUGCCUUGAGUGAGAUGUGCACGCUAAAGCCUCUCAAUAAAUAUUAAUUGAAUGAAUAAUUGAAAAAAAACCUGACUGCC